rnacentral:lncRNA from 1 species
AAAAUUACCCGUUUCCCUUCGAUUUCCUUACUUUAAGAAACAUCAGUAUUGCUUGAACCUGGAAGCAACUUUUAUGCAAAAACAAGCUGAGAUUGCUGUUCGGGGUUAGCCAAGGCUAGCUCCGUCUUGAAGGCUGUACUUUGACCUAUAAUUGUUAACAUUAAAUACAUUGUGACCGUGGAUUUUUUUCCCAAAUGAUAUGGCUAAAAUUACCCGUUUUCCUUCGAUUUCCUUACUUUAAGAAAGAUCAGUUUUGCUGGAUCCUUGGGGCAAUUUUCAUGCAAACAAUUAUUAUUGUUUUCUGUAUU